AUCAAUCGCAGAACUACCGCCCGUAACUGUGGUAAUUCUAGAGCUAAUACAUGCACCAAAGCUCUGAUCCGUUUGCGCGGAGAGGAGCGCAUUUGUUCGCCACAAAACCAAGCGCCUGCAAAGGCGUUUAGUGUUGACUCAGAAUAACUAAGCUGAUCGCACGGUCUUGCACCGGCGACGUGUCUUUCAAGUGUCUGCCUUAUCAACUUUCGAUGGUAGUGUACCUGACUACCAUGGUGAUGACGGGUAACGGAGGAUCAGGGUUCGACUCCGGAGAAGGGGCCUGAGAAAUGGCCACUACGUCUAAGGAUGGCAGCAGGCGCGCAAAUUACCCACUCUCAACAUUCGGAGGAGGUAGUGACGAGAAAUAACGAGACCGUUCUCUCAUGAGGCCGGUCAUCGGAAUGGGUACAAUCUAAACCCUUUAACGAGUAUCUAUGAGAGGGCAAGUCUGGUGCCAGCAGCCGCGGUAAUUCCAGCUCUCAAAAUGCAUAGAAUUAUUGCUGCGGUUAAAAAGCUCGUAGUUGGAUCUGUGCCGUCCGUCCGGUCUGUCCGCUGGGCAUGUACUGGUCACGGGUCGGCUUUCCUGCUCGCUUCUCCCCGGCGUUGGCCUUCACUGGUCCGGCGUCGGCGGGCGGGCACGUUUACUUUGAACAAAUCAGAGUGCUUCACACAGGCGUUUCGCCUGCAUGUUCGUGCAUGGAAUAAUAGAAGAGGAUUUCGGUCCGAUUUUAUUGGUUUUGCUGACCGAGAUAAUGGUUAACAGAGACAAACGGGGCCAUUCGUAUUGCUGCGUGAGAGGUGAAAUUCUUGGACCGUAGCAAGACGGACUACAGCGAAAGCAUUUGGCAAGAAUGUCUUCAUUAAUCAAGAACGAAAGUCAGAGGUUCGAAGCGAUCAGAUACCGGCCCA
rnacentral:rRNA from 1 species